rnacentral:misc_RNA from 1 species
CGGUGAUGAGCUUCUCUCUGACUCAUUUCCCUACAAAGAAGUCGAGAAUGGCGUGCUUUGGGAAGUUCAAGGGAAGUGGGUUGUUCAAGGUGCCGUCGAUGUAAACAUUGGGGCAAAUCCUUCUGCUGAGGGUGGAUGUGAAGAUGAAGGUGUGGAUGACCAAGCUGUCAGGGUUGUCGAUAUUGUUGACACUUUUAGACUUCAGGAACAACCUGCUUUUGACAAGAAACAA